rnacentral:tRNA from 1 species
ACCUGGCUGGCUCAGUCUGUUGAGCAUCGGACUUAGGCUCAGGUCAUGAUCUCACAGUUCAUGGGUUCGAGCCCCGUGUCGGGCU